ACUAAAAACUUCACCUAAACUUACGACAAAGAAAUCUGUAAAAACAACACAAAAUAAAAUUAACCUAAUAAGCCGGCUCCACAAUAUCACAUACACAUUGCUGGUUUUUUAUUGUGGGAAAUAAAAACACUCAUACAAACUACGGAAUAUUCUAGCAUUCGCGUCGGCAUCUGUCCGAGUUCGGCGACAAUGUGUAGCCGGUAUAACUUUCUGUGAUCGUGCACACCCAUCCCUGCUCUAUCUAGAGGGGUCUCUAUGUCUGACAGACAGACGAGAAUAGGGGUUCUUUUGAAGCAUUUGGAUAGGUAUCACAAGUACUCUAAGGGUCAGUAUCACCAGUCAAAUAUGACGUUAACUUCAUCUGUGCACACCCACCGAUAGAUACAAUGGCGAACUCUGCAUGUUGGGCUAGGAUUAAAGUUAAAGUCAAAGUUGACUCGUGCAACGCUCCCAAAAAGUACGUAGCCUCCUUAUAGACAAUAGACCUUUCGUAACUUUGACCCUUUUUUUGAAAAUGACAAAAUGGGAUGAAAAAUCUGACUAUCGAAAUUCAAAUCGAGUCUACGACGGACAAACCAGACUAAACCCGACAUUGGCUUCUUGUAUCUUCUAAAAUGAUCCACGAACGUCAUAUUUAUUGGUGGAAAUGUACUCGGACGAGCAAAUAAUGGACGAUUUCAUUGUUAUCUAUUAACACUGAGUAUAAGUGGAAGCCAUUGCAUGGCAAUUAUUUUUGUAUCUCCUUUUCAUAUGGAUUCAUCAGACGUGUUGGUAGUCCGGAGAAUCGCAGUCCAUCGAAUGGCAGAGAACCAGCCGCAGGUCGAAGUCGGCGGUGGCCACCACGACCAGCGCGGCCGCCGACCACACGCCGGCCACAGUUUUCAUCGCGAUGCGCGACCACUUGUACGAUCACAGAAAUUUUGAAUAAAAAUAUAACCUCUA